CCACCAGGAGAGAGCCGCCAGACAGUACAGCCCACCCGUUUUAUAUCCUCUCAGGCGGUCUGUGCUUUAUUGGGGUAAAUAUGCAGGACAUAGAAACUCUGCCACUGGACCCCUCGGCCGGGGGACACAGCAGCAGCGUUGCAUGCUUUCUGGGUGCAGCGCAGCCAGCACCACCGGCCAGAGCACCCCAUCUUCCCGAUCAACCGGACACCCCUUGGCUCAUUGGCCCUGUCGGCCCUCCGUCCUGGGGGCAGAUGGAUGGCCGUCACCUCCUCAGGCUGCCUCCUGAGAUGCAGAAACAUUCACGGGUCUCGCGAGUCCCGGUGGUGGGUGUCGCGGCAGCCAGCCCCGGCUGGACAGACGAGGCUCGGGCCCUGCUGCCCACCUGCCGGCCGCAGCCCUGACAGCCAAGGGGGAUCUCACCCCCCAGCCUCUGGUUGUCAUUAGCUGCUCCCGGGCGGGAGGUGGGUGCUGCAGCCAGCAAGGAUCCAGGCUCACGCGGGGCCACCUGGGCCUCAUUACUCUUAAGUGGUCGGGUCUGAGAGUGCCGGGGGGGGGGGGCUGCCCCCACUCUGGGCUAGCACCGUGGGGGCUUUGCCAGAGUGGAACUGAACUGGGUCCACCCCGGAGCCCAGAGGGCGGUGAAUGGGAGGCAGAGCCCAUCCUGGGAAUGGACCAGAAGAAAGGGAGCGGGGGUGGGGGAAGGGGCAUCAGAUCCUGGUCCUUCCUUGUCGCCUGCGGUCCCUCUGCCACCACUCCCCGAAGCUGAUCUGGAGCACACGCGUCGUUAAAGCCNNNNNNNNNNNNNNNNNNNNNNNNNNNNNNNNNNNNUCUUCACGGGCGGGCCUGAGAGAUGGGCGCCCGUCCGGCCCUGGCGUCAUCGUCUCCGCGUCUCUACCCACUGAGCAAAGACACACGAAAUGAAGCUCGAACGAGCACAGCCAAAGAACGGCCGUUUCUGUCCUUUCUUCUUAAUCCCUUUGGCUUAGGGUUUCCCGGCCUGGACAGCCUGCCCAAGGGCACAUGGGCAUCCGUCCGGGGACAUUCAGGCAGUGACCAAUCCCAGGCCACCCAGGCUGCGCCCUGCGUCGUGGGCCAUUUCCCAGCCGGCCAGAGAUGGAGCAGCCACUGCGGGUCCCCGAGUCUCGGUGAGACAGUCAAGGAUGGACCUUGGAUGGAGACCGGCGUGCGGCCAUGUCCGUGGGUGAAGGAGGCGUGCAGGCCGUGCUGGGGGACAUGGUUGCUGUCCCCUCGGCCAAACCAUGAAAAGCAGCCCUCUCCCCCAACCCCCAGCACCAACCCGGAGACCACCCUCGGCCGGAGCCCAGCACGGCCACCGUCACGUCUCGGUCGUCCAGCUUGGGACAGGUCAGUUCCCAGACGUCCAGGCUGGAGCUGGUCCUUGAAGAUCCUGGGGGUCCAGCCCGGCACAGGAGGGCCAGCCCCCAAGGAGAAGAGGUGCUGAACUGGGUCCCCUGGAGGCUCCUGAGCCCCAGAACAGUGCCCUCUGAGCAGACGGGCACUCUCAGACCAGCUCCCGCUGGACAAGUCAGCUCCUGCCUGCCGCCUGAUGGGCCCUUGGGAGAAGCAGACAUGGUGAGGAAAAGGUCCCUGUGCCCUUCACCCUAAUUCCCCAGCCCCAAGUCCCACUGGGUUGCCAGCUUCAACCUAAGCAAAUAAUUCGUGCCCUCUAAACAAACGCGCGGGAAUCCCACCUGCCCUUCCCCCGCCCGCCCCCCCACCCCUGGCCUUGACCUCCAAAAGCACUUGAGGGGGCUUUCUCCAGACACCCUCCAACCCCGACCCCAUGAAGAAGGGGUGAUGGGGCUGUUACCCCAACAAGCAAGAGAACGAAGCCCAGAGAGGAGUUGGCGUGGACAGCAGGGGUCAGGCCCCUUUGCCCCGAGGGCAGGGCUGGUGCCACCUGGGUCAGGCGGCAGGCCCUGGAAAAGCACCGGAAAUGAGCACACCUGGGUCUCUAGAAGGUUCUUCCAGACCUCUGGGGGCUGAGUCAUUUCAACACUCCUGGGCCGGGCAGGGCUUCUUCUUGGUCCCGAGGGACAAGGUCCCCUUCGUCCGGGGGGUACGGCCCCUGGACCCCUGUCCCCCGCACCCCACCCUCCGCCUGGUGAGGGCCGCGGCCAGCUCUGGACACAGAUCCCUCAGAGCCCCUUCUCCCUCCCUGCUCCCUCGUCUUCCCAAGAUGCCCCGGCCUCCAGGUGGGGCAGCCAGGCGGCAGAAUGUGGUCCAGGCCUCUCGGCCCCACCCACACCACCCACACCUGCCCUGACAGCCUCCAAGACGCAUUCACGUCGCUGCGUUCUGCGUCCUGUCUCCUCAUGGCACAAAACGGUGCCCGCCUAGCUUCCCCCAGAGAAGGGAGAUCGUGCUCCCCGGACGGACCCUGCUCUGCCUGUCCUCCCGCCCGGCCUUCAGGGCCUCUCCCCAAGGGUGGCAGCGAGGAG
rnacentral:lncRNA from 1 species